rnacentral:rRNA from 1 species
UACGAAGGGGGCUAGCGUUGCUCGGAAUUACUGGGCGUAAAGGGCGCGUAGGCGGUCUGUUAAGUUCGGUGUGAAAUCCCCUGGCUCAACUGGGGAACUGCGCUGGAAACUGGCAGACUCGAGUACCGGAGAGGAGAGUGGAAUUCCUGGUGUAGCGGUGAAAUGCGUAGAUAUCAGGAGGAACACCGGUGGCGAAGGCGGCUCUCUGGACGGAUACUGACGCUGAGGCGCGAAAGCGUGGGGAUCAAACAGG